rnacentral:rRNA from 1 species
CCUGGGGAGUACGGUCGCAAGACUGAAACUCAAAGGAAUUGACGGGGGCCCGCACAAGCGGUGGAGCAUGUGGUUUAAUUCGAAGCAACGCGAAGAACCUUACCAGGUCUUGACAUCCUCUGACAACCCUAGAGAUAGGGCUUUCCCCUUCGGGGGACAGAGUGACAGGUGGUGCAUGGUUGUCGUCAGCUCGUGUCGUGAGAUGUUGGGUUAAGUCCCGCAACGAGCGCAACCCUUGAUCUUAGUUGCCAGCAAGUCAAGUCGGGAACUCUAGGGAGACUGCCCCGGAAAUCGGGGAGGAAGGUGGGGAUGACGUCAAGUCCUCAUGGCCUUUAUGUCCAGGGCUACACACGUGCUACAAUGGGCGGCACAAAGGGUUGCGAUAGCGCGAGCUGGAGCUAAUCCCAGAAAACCGUCCUCAGUACGGAUUGCAGUCUGCAACUCGACUGCAUGAAGCUGGAAUCGCUAGUAAUCCCAGAUCAGCAUGCUGGGGUGAAUACGUUCCCGGGCCUUGUACACACCGCCCGUCACACCACGAGAGUUUGUAACACCCGAAGUCGGUGAGGUAACCUUUUGGAGCCAGCCGCCUAAGGUGGGACAGAUGAUUGGGGUGAAGUCGUAACAAGGUAGCCGUA